UACGGGGGGGGGCAAGCUUGUUCGGAAUUACUGGGCGUAAAGGGCUUGUAGGUGGCCAACUAAGUCAGACGUGAAAUCCCUCGGCUUAACCGGGGAACUGCGUCUGAUACUGGAUGGCUUGAGUGUGGGAGAGGGAUGCGGAAUUCCAGGUGUAGCGGUGAAAUGCGUAGAUAUCUGGAGGAACACCGGUGGCGAAGGCGGGUCUCUGGGCCGAUACUGACGCUGAGGAGCGAAAGCGUGGGGAGCGAACAGG
rnacentral:rRNA from 1 species